ACCUUGGCCUCCCAAAGUGUUGGAAUUACAGGUGUGAGCCACCAUGCUCGGCGGAGGGAUUAUCUUUUUACAGGCUUUUAUUUAUUCAUGUAUUUUUUGGUAGCAACACGCUCCGAGGCAUCCGUGCCAUGGAACGAGGUGCACCUUAUACCAGACAUGGAAACCGCCCAGCUAUGCCAAUAGAAGGUGGGAAGAGAGCAGCACUUGCAAAACUAUUCACAUGUGGACCUGCUGCUUGAUGUGGAUAAUAUCUGCAGAGUAUCAGGGGACAGAAAACCCAGGCCGCCUCCAGGGAACGGGAAGUGGGUGCUGGAGUCCGGGGUGGUGAGAGAAGAUUCCACGCACUCGGAAUGCCUCAGGCCGGCUCCUGUGGCGGCUUCUCUCCGUGUCCUUCAGGGAGCACUGCUGGUUCCUCAGCUAUCGUCGGGUUCCUUCCAAGUCCCUGUCCUAGCAGUUGCUGCUCUUCAGAAACACUGGGCACCGAUUUUCUCAUCUGUGAAAUGGAAUUCAGGGUGACCUCGGGAAGAUCCAAGAUAGCCGAUUAGACACAACUCCAGCGCACAACACCCAGUGAGAGACACGGAAAUCCAGAGCUCUCCUAGCUCCAACUGAGGGAUCGCAACUCCUCAACAACACAGGAUCACAACUUGACCAAGAAGGAGUGUGAAGAAUUGAUGGAAACAGGAUUCUGAAGAUCCAACACGCAGAGCAGGGCGCAAGCGACCAGGCUAGCAGGGAAGGGAGACAGUGAGCAAGAGCCGGCGGGACGGCGGGGUGGACGCAGAGGCCUCCACUGCUGGGAAAUCCGACGCAGCCCACGAGUGCCUGUGCUCGCUGAAAGGGCUGGCAGGGCAGAGAGGAAGGGGAGAAGCUGGAGGAGAGGAGGCGGCCGGGAGAAGAGCAAAGGAGAACAUGUGCUCUGAGUGCAGAAAGACGCAGAGACUGGUGGAGUCAGUGGAGACUGAAGGGCAAGAGGAGAGUAGAGAAAGAACCCAACUGCGUGCAUACCAGAAGUGCUCAAUAAAUGUAGUCCUCGCCUUGGAAGAGGGCAGAGAGCACAGAAACACAAGGAGAGGACAGGAGAGGGACCAGGGAGGCAGAGGCCCGGGGUGGCUGAGAGGCAACUGGCAUCUACGUGGGGCACCCCAGCCCCCUCAGCUCUGGGACGAGCCUGGCUGGGCGCCUUGGGAAAUACACACCACCAUCAAGGAUUACCACAGCCAGCUCUACUCACAUAACCAGUAAACCAGGAGGAAAUGGACACAUUCGUAGACGCUUGUACUCGACCGAGACUAAACCAGGAGGAAGCUGAAACCCUGAACAGACCAGUAACAAGGGCU